rnacentral:misc_RNA from 1 species
ACACACACACACGCACACACACAAAUAUACCUCCAUCCAAAAGAUAAAGCAUUUCAGUGAAAUACACAAAAUUUAUACAGACUCGAGGCGUAAACUGCAGCAGAAGAGUCUAAAUCCACACAGCACAGAAUCCAUUCCUAUUGAUCUAAACAUGAUUUAUUGCUUUGCAAAUAGUUUUAUUCAUCAUCCAAAAACUCCAAAUACAAAGUACAAAGGAAAAUAAAGGGAAAAAAAAUAAAAGAGAAAGGAACACACACCACAAAGUGGAAAAUAACUUAAAAUGCAGUUCUUUCAAUUCCAUUUGGGAAAAGUAUUUGAAUAAACAAGGAAAAAAAUGUAGCAACUUGUUCGA